rnacentral:rRNA from 1 species
AUUGAACGCUGGCGGCAGGCUUAACACAUGCAAGUCGAGCGAGGACUUCGGUCCUAGCGGCGGACGGGUGAGUAACACGUGGGAACGUGCCUUUAGGUUCGGAAUAACUCAGGGAAACUUGAGCUAAUACCGAAUGUGCCCUUCGGGGGAAAGAUUUAUCGCCUUUAGAGCGGCCCGCGUCUGAUUAGCUUGUUGGUGAGGUAAUGGCUCACCAAGGCGACGAUCAGUAGCUGGUCUGAGAGGAUGACCAGCCACAUUGGGACUGAGACACGGCCCAAACUCCUACGGGAGGCAGCAGUGGGGAAUCUUGCGCAGUGGGCGAAAGCCUGACGCAGCCAUGCCGCGUGGAUGAUGAAGGUCUUAGGAUUGUAAAAUCCUUUCACCGGUGAAGAUAAUGACUGUAGCCGGAGAAGAAGCCCCGGCUAACUUCGUGCCAGCCGCCGCCGUAACAC